rnacentral:rRNA from 1 species
AGAGUUUGAUCAUGGCUCAGAACGAACGCUGGCGGCGCGCCUAAUACAUGCAAGUCGAGCGAGAAGGUGUAGCAAUACACUUGUAAAGCGGCGAACGGGUGAGGAAUGCAUGGGUAACCUACCCUCGAGUGGGGAAUAACUAGCCGAAAGGUUAGCUAAUACCGCAUACGUUUCCGGGACUUCGGUUCCGGAAAGAAAGCAAUACCGUGGGUAUUGCGCUCAUGGAUGGGCUCAUGUCCUAUCAGCUUGUUGGUGAGGUAACGGCUCACCAAGGCUUCGACGGGUAGCUGGUCUGAGAGGACGAUCAGCCACACUGGCACUGCGACACGGGCCAGACUCCUACGGGAGGCAGCAGUAAGGAAUAUUGCGCAAUGGACGAAAGUCUGACGCAGCGACGCCGCGUGGGGGAUGAAGGUCUUCGGAUUGUAAACCCCUUUCGGGAGGGAAGAUGGAGUGGGUAACCACUUGGACGGUACCUCCAGAAGCAGCCACGGCUAACUUCGUGCCAGCAGCCGCGGUAAUACGAAGGUGGCAAGCGUUGUUCGGAUUCACUGGGCGUACAGGGAGCGUAGGCGGUUGGGUAAGCCCUCCGUGAAAUCUCCGGGCCUAACCCGGAAAGUGCAGAGGGGACUGCUCAGCUAGAGGAUGGGAGAGGAGCGCGGAAUUCCCGGUGUAGCGGUGAAAUGCGUAGAGAUCGGGAGGAAGGCCGGUGGCGAAGGCGGCGCUCUGGAACAUUUCUGACGCUGAGGCUCGAAAGCGUGGGGAGCAAACAGGAUUAGAUACCCUGGUAGUCCAA